GGGAGCUUAGCUCAGCUGGGAGAGCAUCUGCCUUACAAGCAGGGGGUCACAGGUUCGAUCCCUGUAGCUCCCACCA
rnacentral:tRNA from 1 species